UACGUAGGGUGCGAGCGUUGUCCGGAAUUACUGGGCGUAAAGAGCUCGUAGGUGGUUUGUCGCGUUGUUCGUGAAAACUCACAGCUCAACUGUGGGCGUGCGGGCGAUACGGGCAGACUGGAGUACUGCAGGGGAGACUGGAAUUCCUGGUGUAGCGGUGGAAUGCGCAGAUAGUCAGGAGGAACACCGGUGGCGAAGGCGGGUC
rnacentral:rRNA from 1 species